UACGUAGGUGGCAAGCGUUGUCCGGAUUUAUUGGGUUUAAAGGGUGCGUAGGCGGUUUCAUAAGUCAGUGGUGAAAUACGGCAGCUCAACUGUCGAGGUGCCAUUGAUACUGUGAGACUUGAGUACAGACGAGGUAGGCGGAAUUGACGGUGUAGCGGUGAAAUUCGUAGAUAUCGAGAGGAACACCGGUGGCGAAGGCGGCCUUCUGGACAGUGACUGACGCUGAGACGCGAAAGCGGGGGGAGCAAACAGG
rnacentral:rRNA from 1 species